UUACCUAAUGCUGUAUUUUGAAAAGUAUAAAAAUGCCAUGAAACUAAUGGCAGAGGUGUCUCUGCAUCGUAAAGCCGUUUACUGUUACUUAAACUUUCAGGUCUACAAACAAGAACAAGAGGAAGAAUUAAAGAAAAAAUUGGCAAAUGACCCUCGAUGGAAGAGAUACCGGAGAUGGAUGAAGAAUGAGGGCCCUGGGCGGCUCACAUUUGUGGAUGACUAAAGACGGCCAGAAGCCAAAGGCCAGCAUCUGCUCACCUUCAUUGUGAUGUGCUUCCCAUAACAAAUGUACCAGCUGUUUCUCAGCAGUAACCGAAAUUUGCCAAAUACUUGAUUAAACAGAAUAAUGUAGAAACGUUUCAGCCUUCCCUUCAAACUUUAUACCUAAGACAUUUAUGAAGCUCAAUUUUUAUAAUCUCGUUGUGAAUUUGUUAAAAGAUUUGACAUGAGAAUUUAUUAGUUGCCAUUAAAAAUUUUAUAUGUUUAGUUACAAUUUUUGACAUGAAAAUUUCUUAGAUACCAUUUAAACAUUUUGUGUCUUAAGUGUUUGUUCUUUAAUACGAGUGUUUCCUUAUUGGUCAUACAUUUUUCUGCUUUAAUGGCCUCUAUAUUUUCACAAAAUGGAAGGAAACAAUAGCAGCAUUUAACUAUAUUAUCGUGUCUUUCUGGACACAUUUCUUUAGUAGAAUUUUUCAACACUCAUGUUGUCUUCCUAAGUCAUUAUAGGAUUGAGUAUAUUCAAAACAACCUCUCAAGGAGAGUCUUUUGCUAGGACUCCUGCUGUCUCACCGCCCCAUAAUCUCAGCACUCGUGCUAAGAUCCGAGGCUCUCCACGAGAGUAGUCUACCCUCUGUCCUUGUAGGAUGAUCUCAUUACAGUCUCAUUUAUAGGACUAAACUGUAUGUGCAAAAUUUCUGCAGAAGGGAACCUAUAAAAAACAAUCUUUUGCACCAUAGGAUUGGUCUUUUUUUUUUUUUUUUAAAUCCUCUCACAAGAACAGAAAAAAUAUACUGGGAAGUUGUUCAUAUAAAGUUCUUAAGUGGUGAAAAUUCCAUUGUACAUGAGAGCAUUUACAUGCAUUUAAACUAGAAAGAAAAUAUGCAUGUCUGUGUGCUGUUCUCUCACCCACUGAAAUAUAUAAAUGUUUUUAUACCUGUGGAAAAGCAAAUGAAACAUUUUGACUGAAUCACACAUGGUACGGCACCUGAGUAUUAAUAAUCCGUCAUGGUAGUGAAUCAGUAUUCCUACUGUUCCAUCUUAAUAAAAUGGUUGCAAUAUGUCA